UACGAAGGGUGCAAGCGUUACUCGGAAUUACUGGCGUAAAGCGUGCGUAGGUGGUUUGUUAAGUCUGAUGUGAAAGCCCUGGGCUCAACCUGGGAAUUGCAUUGGAUACUGGCAGGCUAGAGUGCGGUAGAGGAUGGCGGAAUUCCCGGUGUAGCAGUGAAAUGCGUAGAGAUCGGGAGGAACAUCUGUGGCGAAGGCGGCCAUCUGGACCAGCACUGACACUGAGGCACGAAAGCGUGGGGAGCAAACAGG
rnacentral:rRNA from 1 species